CAGAACAAUGGAAGAGAGAACAGCAGCUUUGUGCAGCUACCCUCUCACUAGACUUGAUUUGUAGAAAACUAGAAGAACAUGGAGAAGGGACUUUCAAUCAAAAAGGAAAAGGUCCUGGCAAGCAAAAUCCUGAAGUCCCAAGAGAUGUUAACUACCUCACCUACUAGACCCUUGGGUAUUCCGAAGUGGAUGAAGAGAGGGCUGUAACAGGACCUCAGACCUUAGUAGGCCCUGAGACUUUAGCACAACUGACUCCAUGGUGGAAGUGCCAUUCAGGCUGUAAAACCCAGCAUGUAGACAGCACCAGCUGCCAAAACUAAAACAAAGCCUAAUCCAAAGUCCAUAGUUCUGGAAAAGACUCUAAAUGCACCAACCUUUCCUUUUGACUUCUAUACUUCUGUUUCUAGCUAACUGUGCUUGUUAACUGAAGUGUUAACAGAACAUGGAUUUUGUACUUAAAAGCUCACUCUGAGAAAGGCUUGGGGCCACACUUGGAUCUUGAACACCUCGUGUAGUCACUGACCAGUUAAUAAAGACUUUCUAUUGGCUUAAAGCCAUCUCUCAUGACAAGUUCCAUUUAUCCUCUUCUCUUGCAAGUGAGUGUGAAGAGUCCCUGGGGCUUCAGUAACCCAUGCCUGCUAGAAGGAAAAGCCAGGGCCUUCCUGCCUUUCACACAUCUGGAUGCUCUGGUCUCUAACAGCUUCUCUACUGUUACCGUCUGUCAGACAGCACAAGUAUGAUACUGCAGUCUGGUUGUUUUCCACCAAGUUCAGCUCACCCCAGGGCCUUUGCACUUGCUGCCCCCCCCCCAUUCCUGGAGCAACACACUUGCAUGAUCCAGGGUUGGCUCCUUCCCGCCAGUUCAUACAUUACCUCUAUGCAGAGACUGUACAGCUAUCACAGAGAAAUGUGCAUCUCCCCUUGGUCUCUUUCAAAUGUUCUAAGUUUGCACAGCUCUCUGAGCAACCAGGAAGUUCAUCUAUUUGCUUGUUUGCCUUCUGUUCCUCACACUAGAAACCAUUCCCUGGCUCAGUCCCUGUGUCUUCAUCACUACCCUCCCCAGAGGCUGUACCUCUCUGCUCAGCACAUGCUAGGAGAAGAACACACACCUGCAGAGUGGAGAAAGUGGCCGAGCUCAAACAGCCGGUCUGUAAGGUAAGGUCUCUGCAGAUGGUGACAUCAUCUGGAGGAGUGAUUUAUUGGAUUCAUUAACCCUGCGGCAUUGUUCACAGCACCAGACAUACCGACAGAGAACUAGGUGAUGUCUGAGAACUUCAGAUCCAAGUCUGUAACACUGGAAGAUGUGGAGCCAAGAAGAUUACAGAAAUCUAAUGAGGGGC